UCAGAUCAAGCGUAGUUCUUGAAAACUAAUGGACAAAUAAACUAAAAAAAUAAAAAUCCUUUUAGAUUUUUCAUUUCUAUUUUUUUGGUUUUUCAAAUACAAAUGGAAAUUACUAUAAUAAAAGACUCAAAAAUCUUAACUAGACUGACAGACUCGAUACUACUGUAGAAGACUAAUAAUUAAAAAACAACCUAAAAUAGACUAAAAAAAAUUAAAAGUAUCUAUAAGCAGUUCCUUCUUGACUAGAACGGUCAUGGGGUAUUUGUAUUCAUACCUAAAUGGAAAAAUAAAAUCAAAUAGAGUUAGUGACUGACACACAUGUGAUGCCACGACUCCUUAUUAGUGCAAACUUGACAAAAUUGAUCCCCUAAUGCAUGAAAAAUAAUCCAUUUAAUGCUUGCAUGACUCGUUGACUCUAACAUCUCAACAAUCAUGGCCUUAAAAAAAAUUACUUUGCGAAAAUGGUCCAUUUUGCAAAAAUGGCCUAUAUGACCAAAUGUGGCUAAAAAUGCAAACUAAAAAAGGAAGAACCUUAAAGUACUAUGACACCUAGUUGUGGAUGCAAGAUCCUAAGUCAUGGGUUAUUGAACCACUUUUGCAAAAAUGAUCCCAUUUUGCAACAGCGGCCGGUAUGGCCACAAGUGGCUAGGCAUGUAAGAUUUGGCUAAGACCCCGUAAAACCAAGAGCCUAAGACUAGGAAGUCUGGUCCCUAUGUGGGUUGUCUACGUAUUUCGCCCCGAAAGACGAGAAUCAGGUUGACGUAGUUCAUGAGAUGCAACUAAUUUGGCAAAAAAAUUACAUUUUUGUCUUUUUUGAAAAAUGAUGAAAAAUGUAAAUUCUUUUUGGAUUUUAUAUAUUUGAGAAAUAAUGGAAAAAUGUAAAAUCUUUUUGAGAUUUUUUUUUUCUACUUUUUUUGAAUUUUGAAAAAUAAUGAAAAAGUGUAAAAUCUUUUUGGAUUUUCAUUUUCAUUUUUUUAGUUUUUGGAAAACUAUGAAACUAAAAAUGAGAGUGGGCCCACUUGAUUCAUUUUUCGCCUUUCUUUCCCAAAUAUCGAUAUGCCAAAUGACCGUUUUACCCUUAAAGAUGCAAUAUUAGCACAUAGGAUGAUUGAAUGUCAUUUUGGGCCACAGGUCCAUUUUGACAAAAUUUGGACAGGCUCCUUACAAAGGGACACAGUACCUGGGACUGAGCCCUACUAGGUGUAAAUGACAUGAUGCAAAUAAAAGUGAUCUAAGGGGUACCUAAGUUUGGGGUUCACUAACAAGGCAAUAUGGUCGAUAGUGCUGCUCAAGCUUUUUCAUCCACUCCAUAUGUCCGACGCCCUUCCCCCUAAAUUAAGGAUGACGCAACAAAGAGUUCGUGCACGCGACGCGUGCUUCGAGACUUGUUGCAGAAAGAAUUGACUAGGUAAUGCAUAUGAUGACAAAUUAUAAAGCAGUAACACAUAAAGGAAAACUGUAAACAAAUAAGCAACUAGCAAAUAACAAAAUAUAAAACAUAAUAAAAAUUAAGCAAAGCUAAUGAACAAGCAUAAAAAAAAAACUCAACCAAAUAUUCUAAAAGCCAACAAAAUCGGGUACUAGCUCAAACCCGCAGUUCUCCAGCAAAGUCGCCAGAGAUGUCACACCCCUUUUUUAACCGAACCUCUUCCUCUAAAUUAAUAAAAAGAUAUAGUAAAAGCUUGAAAGGUGUUUUCAAUUUUGAAAGUGCCAAAAAUUGUGUUUCAAAAGGAAAUAA
rnacentral:lncRNA from 1 species